UUUCAGAGUUUUUCAUGAAUAAGUUGUAUUUUUAAAUAAUUUUCUUAAAAACUGCUAUUUUUGGAAAGUUUUCAUUUUUUAGAGAAAUUUUAUAGAUUUGGGUUUGUGAUUUACACAUUAGGAUAACAAAUAUAUUUAUGGAUAGAUGAGUAUUCUUUCAGAAUUUUUCAUCAUUAUAUUAUUUUUUUAAAUAAUUAUCUUAAAAGCUGUUAUUUUUGGAAAGUUUUCAUUUUUUAGAGAACUUUUAUAGAUUUGGGUUUGUGAUUUAGAAAUUUGGAUAACAAAUAUAUUUAUGGAUAAAUGAGUAUGCUUUC
rnacentral:lncRNA from 1 species